rnacentral:rRNA from 1 species
CGUGUAGGCGGCUCAUCAAGUCUGGUGUGAAAUCGCAGGGCUUAACCCUGCAUAUGCGCUGGAAACUGGUGGGCUUGAGUUCUUGAGGGGAAGCUGGAAUUCCAGGUGUAGGGGUGAAAUCUGUAGAUAUCUGGAAGAACACCGGUGGCGAAGGCGAGCUUCUAUCAGAGGACUGACGCUGAGGCGCGAAAGCGUGGGGAGCAAACAGGAUUAGAUACCCUGGUAGUCCACGCUGUAAACGAUGUGCACUAGGCGUGGGGCACGUACGUGCUCUGUGCCGUAGUUAACGUGUUAAGUGCACCGCCUGGGGAGUAUGCUCGCAAGGGUGAA